GCGCCCGUAGCUCAACUGGAUAGAGCGUUGGCCUCCGGAGCCAAAGGUUAUGGGUUCAACUCCCGUCGGGCGCA
rnacentral:tRNA from 1 species